rnacentral:lncRNA from 1 species
GUUUGUUAUUACUAAUAUGGACUUAGUGCUGGGGCAGGUGAUGUGGUUAAAACAUGUCAUCUAAUUGGAGAGAAGAGAUAUAAUGGUGGGCUGUCACAAUGGAUCAAAGUGUUAUGUCUCAAAAGUGAUAGAAGUCUAUUUCUUCCACAGGUAACUAUAUAUUGUUGGUUGUUCUGUGAUGGUGGAAAGCCUCUACUCCAUGCAGUCAUUCAGGAAACCAAGCUGAUGGAAGCUCUGCCAUCUUCAACUAGUUGUUCUAGUCAUCUUUGACACCAUUCAACCUUUGGGAAGAGGGGAUAGCAUCGAAGGGCUCAGUAGGUUGUGCCAAUAUAGCCCAGCAGUGGCAUAUAUCAUUUCCAUCCUUUUUCCAUUGGAAAGAACAUAAUCAUUUAGCUACCUAACUGUGAAGAAGUCUAGGAAUCAUGGAGGAAAGGGAGAAUGGAUUUUAAUGGCCAAUUAGUCUCUGACAUGAAAUCUGGGAGAGGCAAAAUAGUGAUAAAAUAGCAGAUAAGCACAUGCCACAGUGGAGGGUGGAAAUAAUUUUUUAAAAAUGUAUUUAGAAGUUCAGAGAAGAUACAAAUCAGCAUGGAACAAAGUCAUUGGGAAGAGCAUCACUCAAGAGAUGGAACAUGAUGGAACAGAAGAUAAACUGGAUCAAUGAAGACAAAAGUUCCUCAAGAGAAACAUCCAUCCAUUUCUUUUCAGCAAUGCAGUUCUUGUGGGCCUACUAUAUGUAGCUACUGUUUGCGUGUGGAGAAUACAAAGACAAAGAUUCUGCCCUGGAAGGGGAAGGCAGUUGAACCCAAAAUUACAGAACGGUAUCCCUCUGCUGCCCAGAGUCUCCUAUUUCAAGCAUCUUUAGAGCGCAGAGUAUGA